rnacentral:rRNA from 1 species
UUCGACGAUGACGAGCCCAUCGAGAAGCCUCCGGCGGUGCCACUCGACGGCCGGAGCGCCAGCCGAGAAGCCCUCGUGCUCAAGACGCACUGUGAGCGCCCAGCCGUCGCGAGGUGCUCGGCCCAUGACGGCUUCGCCGUGCUGGUGCACGCCAAAGCUCCAGGCGCGGCGUCCAACGCCGAAAAGACGCCGGUCGACCUUGUGACGGUGCUCGACGUCAGCGGGAGCAUGGAGGGCCGCAAGCUCGAGCUACUCAAGGACGCGAUGGGGUUCCUCGUGGACAAUCUCGGCCCUGCCGACCGCCUCAGCGUCGUGUCCUUCUCGAACGACGGUCGCCGUGUCACCCCGCUGACGCGCAUGUCGAACGCCGGGAAGGCCUCUGCGAAGCUCGCCGUGCAGUCGCUCGUGGCCGGUGGUGGCACGGAUAUCCUCAAGGGCCUUAAGAAGGCCGCCAAGGUGCUCGACAGCCGCCGGCACAAGAAUGUCGUUGCCGGCGUCAUUCUCCUCUCCGAUGGCCAGGACAACUACUUGUGGCGAAGGAGCUACCGAGAUCUGGUGCCAAGUUCCCUGCGGAACGACGACGGCCGCUCAACCGCGCCGAUCCACACAUUCGGCUUCGGCACCGACCACGAUCCGGCGGCCAUGCACGCCAUCGCCGAGCUAACGGGUGGCUCAUACUCCUUCAUCGAGAACCAGGCCGUGGUGCAAGACGCGUUCGCCCAGUGCAUCGGCGGGCUCCUUUCGGUCGCCGCCCAGCAGGCACGGAUAGCCAUUGAGUGCAUCCACGAGGUGCGCGUCCGAACCGUCAAAUCCGGUCGCUACAAAAGCCGUGUCCUCCCGGACGGCCGUGCAGCCUCGGUGGACGUUGGCGAGCUCUAUGCCGAUGAAGAGAGACGCUUCCUGCUGUUCAUGGACGUGCCGAGGGUCGUCGAUGAGGCCAUGACCACAUGCCUUGUCAAGGUGAGCUGCACUUACAUAGACACGAAGACUGGGAAGUCGAUGGAGGUGGCCGCGGAGGAUCCCGUGGUGCGAAGGCCGUUAGAGGUGACGGUUGAGGAGCCGUCCAUGGAGGUCAACGUGGAGCGUUUCCGGGUGGAGGCGAUGGAAGACAUUGCAGCAGCGCGGGCAGCCGCCGAGCAUGGUGACCACGCCAAGGCCGCAAGGAUACUGGACAUGCGCCAGAAGGCUGCGGUGGGCGAUUUGGCCGGCGACCCCCGGUGCAGGGCGCUAGUGCACGAGCUGGCCGAGCUCAGCGCCCGUGUGGCGACCGCUCACGAGUACGAGCGAACAGGCCGCUCAACCAUGCUAUCCGGCAUGAGCUCCCAUGGGGGGCAGCGCGCCUCGUGUGCUAGUCUGUUUGGCACCAUGGCGUCGGCGCCCAUGUUUGCAGGAUCGGCGGCGCCAUUUGGGGCGGCGGCAGGAGCGUUUGCGACACCAGCGUGA